AUGAAGCUCGCUAGUCCGGGACUAAGCGAAGGGCGCAAGGCGUCAGUUGAGAUGGCAGAUUUCAUGAGCGCGGGAAGUGGGGUUUUUCUCGGCUUUGGAGCAAACAAGAAAUACAUGGAUUGCAAAACAGAUUUCUUUGAUCAUUGUGAGGUUGAAACCUGGUCGCCGCUGUGGAUUAAAGAUUUUGUGCAGCAGCUUGGCUAUGAUCCAAGUAAAGUGCAGUGUUUCUGGUUACUUCCUGGAAUGAAUUUGGAUAAUGGACUGAGAAUUAUUGAUAGAGAUGCAGACUGUCUUAGUAUGACUGCUGUUGUGCCAAAGUUCAAGCAUUUCAAGUUGUACAUGGAUCAUGGUGAUAUUUAUAGCGAGCUGAAUAUGGAUGACAUAUGCAUAAUUGGCUCACCUACAAUGCCUGAUAUCAUGAGUCCUGUGAAGCCACAAGAAAGAGGUACAAAGAGUUAUAUUAGGAGUAGUCCUAGGAUCAAGAGCAAGGCACAAAAAGGGAGAACUAAAGAACAAGUGCAGAAAAACAAUGACAGUGAUAGUGAUUGUAGUUAUGAAGAUUGGGCUGACUCAGACAAUGACUUUAAGAAUGGCGAUGAUAAUCUGUUUGAGGAGUGGGUUGAUGACUUCAAUAAGGAUCUCAGAGCAAAGAAAAAUAAAGCAGUACAGUACGAGAGGGAUAGUGACUAUGACACCGAUGAGCUAGAACUGCCAGCUUCUGAGAAUGAGGGAAAUGAAUCAGAACAUGAGGUUGUUAUGGAAAAAGGGAAGAAAAAGAAAAAGAAGAAGGUGAAGCUCAGGUCUUUCAAGCCAGAGGACAUGAAAGCACCAAUAUUCAAAUUGGGUAUGAAGUUCCCUACUGCAGCUGAUCUUAGAAGGGCAAUUCGAGAGUACGCUAUUCAGAAUAGAGUUGCAAUCAAGUAUGCAAAGAAUGAUAAACAAAGAAUUAGGGCACACUGCUCGGAUGACUGUCCAUGGUAUUUAUUCGCAGCACCUGACAGCAGAACCACAAGUUUUGUGGUGAAAACUUAUGUGGGGGGUCACACCUGCAGUAAAGAAUGGGAGGUCAAUGGAUUCACAUCAAGAUAUCUAGCAGGCAAGUAUUUGGAGAACUUCAGGGCAGACGAAAAUAUGACAUUGAUGAAUUUUGCAAGGUUGGUGCAGAAGGACUACAACAUGAUCCCUACAAGGAGCAAGCUAGCAAGAGCAAGAAGGAUAGCAAUAAAGCAGAUUCAUGGAGAUGAGGAGAAACAAUACUCGAUGAUGUGGGACUAUGCACAAGAGAUCAGAAUGUCAAACCCUGGAAGUAGCAUGUUUAUCAAACUCAAAGAUGGCAGAUUCCACCAAUGUUACAUGUCAUUAGAUGCUUGUAAAAGAGGCUUUUUGGCUGGAUGCAGGCCUGUUAUUUGUGUUGAUGGGUGCCAUCUUAAAACAAAAUAUGGUGGACAAUUGUUGACUGCUGUAGGGAUUGAUCCAAACAACUGUAUUUUCCCCAUUGCUAUGGCUGUAGUUGAAGUGGAGGACACACCAACAUGGAAGUGGUUUCUACAGACUUUGAAAGAUGAUCUGCACAUAGUGAACACAGCAACUUGGACAGUGAUGAGUGAUAGGAAAAAAAUACUAAUAAAUGCCGUUACUGCUUUGUUCCCUCAUGGACAACACAGGUUUUGUGUGAGGCACCUUUACCAAAAUUUUGCAAAGAAGUGGAAGGGCGAGAACCUGAAGAACAAGUUAUGGGCAAUUGCAAGGUCGUACAAUAAAAUUGACUGGAGAAAAAACAUGGAUGACAUGAAGGAAUUAAAUCUAGAAGCUUAUGAGUACUUAGAAGCAAUUGAACCAAGUUCCUGGUGCAGGGCCUUUUUCCAAGAAUUACCAAAGUGUGACCUGCUACUAAACAAUAAUUGUGAGGUCUUUAAUAAGUGGAUACUUGAUGCUAGAGAGCUGCCUGUCAUGAGCAUGUUCAAAAAAAUCAAAAAUCAAUUGUCGACAAGGUUUUAUAGCAAGAACAAGGAAAGUGAAGAGUGGUGUGGAACAAUUUGUCCCAAGAUCAAAAAGAUACUUGAUAAGAAUGCAGAAAUGGCUAAUAAUUGUCAGGCAUUGCCUUCUGGCAAAGGCAUCUUUACUGUCUUGGGACUCAGAGGCGAGUACAAGGUUGACAUAAACAAAUACACAUGUUCAUGCAAAGCUUGGCAGCUAACAGGCAUACCAUGUAGACAUGGCAUCUCUUGUCUCAGAGGUGAAAGAAUCAAACCAGAGAAUGUUGUCUCUCCAUGCUAUAGUAUUGCAGCAUUCAAGAAAGUAUAUGGUGAAGUUAUUAUGCCUUGCAGAGACCCAAGAGAGUGGGAAAAGGUGAAUGCUGCUCCAAUCUUGCCACCCCUAUACGAAAAGCAUGUUGGGAGGCCUAGCAAUAAAAGAAAGAAGAACCCUGUAGAGACUGAUGAAGGAAAGUUGAGCAAGCAUGGUGCGGUUUCUCACUGCAGUAUUUGUAGGUCAGUUGAUCAUAAUAAAAGAACUUGCCCUGAAAAAGGUAGACAGGAGCAACAAGAUGAGGCAAGGCAAGGGGAGCAGCAAGAGGCAGGACAAGUGCAGCAAGGUGAGGCAGUUCAAGGACAAAACUCAAUUCCAAGGCAUAUUGCCAAAAAGGCAAAAUUACCAGUGAAGAGAAGGAUUAGUUCAACUAAUCAGACCACAUCUUCUGCAAGUGUGGUUGGAUCUAGUGUAAUACUAGUGUGGGAGCAGAACAUGUCUGUGUUCGACUUACUGAUGCAAUCCUCACAGCCGUCCCAAGAAUCCCAGGCACCAAGACCUCUUCCUGACAAUCAAUUUCUUGCAAGCCAAAUAGAGGAUCUACAAAUGACAAAACAGACCACAACUAUAAUCCAUGUAGCAGCAAAGAAGAAGAAAAGGAAGGAGAAGAUCACGGAGAAGGAGAAUGUUAUUCCUAGGAAGAAGAAAUAG
rnacentral:rRNA from 1 species